CGGAGGUACUCGAGUGGCGAACGGGUGAGUAACACGUGGGUGAUCUGCCCUGCACUCUGGGAUAAGCCUGGGAAGCUGGGUCUAAUACCGGAUAGGACCGCACUUUAGUGUGUGUGGUGGAAAGUUUUUUCGGUGUAGGAUGAGCCCGCGGCCUAUCAGCUUGUUGGUGGGGUAAUGGCCUACCAAGGCGGCGACGGGUAGCCGGACUGAGAGGUUGGUCGGCCACAUUGGGACUGAGAUACGGCCCAG
rnacentral:rRNA from 1 species